rnacentral:rRNA from 1 species
GACGAACGCUGGCGGCGUGCCUAAUACAUGCAAGUCGAACGAAGCUGUUUUAACUGGUGCUUGCACCGACUUAAACAACUGAGUGGCGAACGGGUGAGUAACACGUGGGUAACCUGCCCCAAAGCGGGGGAUAACAUUUGGAAACAGAUGCUAAUACCGCAUAACCACAGAAACCACAUGGUUUCUGUGCCAAAGAUGGUUUCGGCUAUCACUUUGGGAUGGACCCGCGGCGUAUUAGCUAGUUGGUAAGGUAAUGGCUUACCAAGGCAAUGAGAAGUAGCCGAACUGAGAGGUUGAUCGGCCACAUUGGGACUGAGACACGGCCCAAACUCCUACGGGAGGCAGCAGUAGGGAAUCUUCCACAAUGGACGAAAGUCUGAUGGAGCAACGCCGCGUGAGUGAAGAAGGUUUUCGGAUCGUAAAACUCUGUUGUCAGAGAAGAACGUGUGCGAGAGUAACUGCUCGUGCAGUGACGGUAUCUGGCCAGAAAGCCACGGCUAACUACGUGCCAGCCGCCGCGGUAA